AAAUUUAUUUUAAUAGAAUUUGAUGAGUCAGAGAGUAUUUUAGUUCGUUGCUAAGCCUCAUCUAAAGUCACUUUCAUUUUUUAUUUUUUUUUAAAUUCAUAUAAAUUACAUCCUUUUUUUCCAUAUAAGUUGAACUAAACGCCUGCUAGAUUAUAUUCAUUUUUAAAUACUAGCGUUUUAUAUUUGAUAGAACUCUUAACAUAUAAUGUAAAUAUAAAUGAAUUAUGAUAUAACAGAGAGCACUAUUAUGCAGUGCUCUCUAUAUGUUAUACUCCCUGUCUUUUCUUUAUUAUUAUAUUUACAUGUUUGCUUAUCAUAAAAUACUAAACUAAAGUGAUGUACUAUAAACUAUAAUUGUGUAAUAGGUAUACUCAAACUUGCACCCCCUUUUGACACUUUUGAAAAUGCAACCUAUAAUUGACCAUGUGAAAAUACUGACUGCGGUCCAAUUUUCUCGAGAAUUAAAUGGGUACCAAUAUAAACUCCAUUUUAUGGGUCAAUCGCAUGUACUAGAAUAACUACAAUAUUUUUCUUUAAUUUUAGACAAUGUGAAGAUUUGAACAUUUAUCAAGACAAAUGAUGAAAGUUCAGUGUAGAAUGGGUAUGUAAAAAAAAGAAACCAAAAACUAACAUGGUAACCCUGACAAUUUGAAGAACGUUUUGUAAGAGAAAAAUAAUAAUGCCUAUGACGUUUCAUUAGAUCAGCUACAAUCAACUGGGACUAAGGAGGAGGGCGAACAAGGACAUUUGCUAGAAUACUCCUAUGUCAAUACCCAAUUAUACUAUGAAUCCAAGAAGGACUUACAAUUAUAACUCCGCAAAGAAAAUGACUACUUUAUAUUACCAAUUACAAAUUAACGGGCCAGGUAGAAAAUACACCGGAUUUACAUCAUUAAUCAUGACUAUACAGUACCAUUUUAUCUCCUUUUAUCUUUUAUCUACAUUAACUGUGUUAAUAACUCCUAAUUAUUAAGAUCAACAUUGGUAUUUCUGGGAGCUAAAAACUUUCUUUAAUUUUAAUAAGUAUUAUUCAAUAUACGUUCUCCCUUUUUCUAUUAAUACAAUAAUUAUUUUAUUGGAUUUUUAAUCAUUUUGGUUCAUUUUCAAAUCUACAACACAUACCUUAAAAAAACUAGAUCUGGCAAAAAAAUGUUAAAAAGCUUUACCAAUGUAUCUCCUCAAGCUAACAGUCGCGUUUCGUUACUUUAUUUUAAUACUUUAGUCAUGACUAUCAAUACAAAUACAUCACGAUUGCAAGUUUGCAAUUGUUUUAAUUCAAUUCCCCCUUUCAUUUUAUAAUUAGUAGAACAAAUAGUAAAAAUAGCGCGUAGUAGGUAGUUUCAAUUUUGGUAAUAUCAGAUGUCUUUUUAUUUGGUUCUUAUUUUUAUUUAGUCCAUUUGACACUUCAAAAUUAUCUCAAUGUAUUUAUUUAACUCCAAAAUGUAUUAAUUUAAAAAGUAAAAAUAUCCAACUUACUCUUUAUUAGCAUUUUUGCAAUCAUUGCAAUUUAGGAACUUAUUAGAAAAUCCAGUUAAAGUUAAUGUUUGUCGCUUUAAAUGUUCUGACAUUGAAUUUAACCCACUUAUCAAUUCUGAUAUUGUAAGUAGAAGUAUUUCAUCGCCUU
rnacentral:lncRNA from 1 species